rnacentral:rRNA from 1 species
AUUGAACGCUGGCGGCAGGCCUAACACAUGCAAGUCGAACGAGUGGCGGACGGGUGAGUAAUGUAUGGGAAACUGCCUGAUGGAGGGGGAUAACUACUGGAAACGGUGGCUAAUACCGCAUACCAUCAGAUGUGCCGAGAUGGGAGUAGCUUGUUGGUGGGGUAACGGCUCACCAAGGCGACGAUCCCUAGCUGGUCUGAGAGGAUGACCAGCAACACUGGGACUGAGACACGGCCCAGACUACGAAGGGAGGCAGCAGUGGGGAAUAUUGGACAAUGGGCGAAACCCUGAGGCAGCCAUGCCGCGUGUAUGAAGAAGGCCUUCGGGUUGUAAAGUACUUUUAGCGGGGAGGCGUUAUCUGCAGAAGAAGCACCGGCUAACUCCGUGCCAGCAGCCGCGGUAAUUC